rnacentral:rRNA from 1 species
AUGAUUGGAAUAAGAAUAAGGCAGACUUGCACGAGGCAGGAACGAGGCCGUGUCGGUCGUCUGAGGUGGUCAGGCUGGUGCUGGAGUACGCUCACGGUUUUUUAUGGAGUGUGCAACCCGGAGAUUUUAUGUUGGAACGUCCGCGGGUUAAAUAAUCCCGCGAAAAGGAAGGCGGUUAGGGAGUUCUUGGCCUCGGUCAAGGUCAACUUAGUGUGUCUCCAGGAAACCAAACUGGAUGUUAUCGACCCUUUCAUGGCUAUGCAAUGUUUAGGCCCGUCCCUGGACGGUUUCGCUUACUUACCUGCUGUGGAGGCCCGUGGUGGUGUGCUCCUUGCUUGGGACACCACGGUGAUUACCUUGGAUCAAUGUUGUUUCAUAUUUGGGCAGCAGCACCACCCCCUUUGGCAUUUCAGCAACGCCACAAACUUUGGCAUUUCUACCCUGCAACGUAGCAUCUCAACCAGGCCAGCAACGCGGGCGUGUUUGGCGUUUUUAUAUAGUGCGGCAACGCCACAGCUCGUGGCGUUUUUGAAAAGUGUCAGAUCGUCAAAUAGUUUUGUAUGGACAUUCAGCUAG